CAGCAGCCACGGUAAUACAGAGGGUGCGAGCGUUAAUCGGAUUUACUGGGCGUAAAGCGUGCGUAGGCGGCUAAUUGAGUCGGAUGUGAAAUCCCCGAGCUUAACUUGGGAAUUGCAUUCGAUACUGGUUAGCUAGAGUGUGGGAGAGGAUGGUAGAAUUCCAGGUGUAGCGGUGAAAUGCGUAGAGAUCUGGAGGAAUACCGAUGGCGAAGGCAGCCAUCUGGCCUAACACUGACGCUGAGGUACGAAAGCAUGGGAAGCAAACAGGAUUAGAUACCCCCGUAGUCCCUGUCUCUUAUAC
rnacentral:rRNA from 1 species